rnacentral:lncRNA from 1 species
GAUUGAAAUUUUUAAUUUAAUUUAUAGAAUUUCUACUGUGAUUACUGUGAAUGUAAAUAAAUAAACAACUCAAAAUUGACGAAACAUUUAUGGGUGAAAGGAUAAUUGAAUAAUAGUUUCAAGUAGUAAGUUAUUAAAUUAAGAAAAUAACACACCACAAAAUUGGAGUAAUUAUCUCCAGCGUUUCUGUAUAGUACUAAGACAAACGUAGGAAGCCUUGAAUAGCAAGCUAUCAACAACGCUGAAACUUUUCUAAUCUAAUGUUUUGGUCUUCUUCUUUUUCUUUUUAGGCUCUGCUGUUACUUUUAUUUUAGACUUUGAAUCAUCUAUCUCCUCUCGGUCUAUCAAAUGCUCGUACUCUUCAAGACUCGCAAAUGGAGAUUUACGUUUUAGUUUUUCUUUCUUUUUCUUGUUACCACCAAGAUCAUCACCACCACCAUAAUCAUCAUCAACAUCCUCACCAUCAAGCAUAUCCAUUUCUGUGUCCAUCUCUGCAUCACUCGCAUCCGCCACAAGCUCAUCAUCAUCAUCAUCAUGGCCAACUACUUUAUCUAGAUCAUCAUAAUCAUAUUCACACCGCCCUCUUCUUCCACAGCAUCAUCAUCCGACAUAUUCUCAAUCUCCUCAUUGUCACUCUCAUCACCAGCCCCGAAUUCAACAUCACUAUCGU